rfam:Vigna angularis cultivar Jingnong 6 scaffold144_32, whole genome shotgun sequence.
AAUCCAUGAGUAGGGGUUUUUCUCAGUAGGCCUUUGAAUCUAUCCCAUGCUUGACCUAGAGUUUCAUCAGCAUCUUGUUGGAAAGAAGAGAUCUCUUGCUUUCCCUU